rnacentral:rRNA from 1 species
GCCAACUGGGGGGCACCCUGAUCAGCAUGCCGCGUGUGUGAAGAAGGCCUGCGGGUUGUAAAGCACUUUCGGUAGGGACGAAAAGCUGAAGGCUAAUAUCCUUCAGUCUUGACUUAACCUAAAGAAGAAGCACCGGCUAACUCCGUGCCAGCAGCCGCGGUA